GGAGUCUGGGCCGUGUCUCAGUCCCAAUGUGGCCGUCCGGCCUCUCAGCCCGGCUACUGAUCGUCGCCUUGGUGGGCCGUUACCCCGCCAACUAGCUAAUCAGACGCGGGCCCAUCCCGUACCACCGGAGUUUUUCACACUGUCCCAUGCGAGACCGUGCGCUUAUGCGGUAUUAUCAGUCGUUUCCAACUGCUAUCCCCCGGUACGGGGCAGGUUGCCCACGCGUUACUCACCCGUUCGCCACUAAGUUACCUCAUGUUUUCUGCCGAAGCUUCAAACGGCGAAGUAACCCCGUUCGACUUGCAUGUGUUAGGCACGCCGCCAGCGUUCAUC
rnacentral:rRNA from 1 species